AAAAUUUUGAUUGAUGGAGUGACGUCAUCUGAUCACAUCAGAUAAGAACUCCACCCUCUCUCCUAAGUUGGCGCCAACAUUGGAUAAGCUCAAGCAAGGUGGCGCCAAAGAGUCCAUGUUUAUCAGGACUCUUUGGUUCUUAUCCAUUUGGGGCGCCCACUUUAAUCCAAUUUGGGCUCAUGCCAUAAUCUUAUUAUGGCACCCAAUUCAAUUAGGUUUUGACAUGUGGACACUCCAUAAAAAUCUCCCAAUGAGCUCUCUUCAGUUUAAGACCCAUAUAUCAACA
rnacentral:lncRNA from 1 species